GGCGCGGUAGCCAAGAGGAAAGGCGGCGGUCUGCAAAACCGCUAUUCGCCGGUUCGAGUCCGGCCCGCGCCU
rnacentral:tRNA from 1 species